AAAAUGUGAUAAUCAUUGUGAAUUGCAGAAUUCAGUGAAUCAAUAGAACGCUCAACGCACUCGGCACUGUACUCUGUACAGUAGGCCUGUUUCAGAUUCAUUUACGAUCUCCCCAAACAAUUGCUGUUUGAGGAGUUGAGGUGCUGCUUGACGAAAGUUUGGCAGUCGCAGAGUUCUAUGAUAGUACUCCGCUAAACAUGUUCGAAAGAUAUUGUUAGCAAGUACAUAAUGUCAUAGCGCACUAUCUUAUAUGAACUGAAAUCAGACCAGGCUACCCGCUGAACUUAA
rnacentral:misc_RNA from 1 species